GAUGAACGCUAGCUACAGGCUUAACACAUGCAAGUCGAGGGGCAGCAUGCGGAUUGCUUGCAAUCCGCGAUGGCGACCGGCGCACGGGUGAGUAACGCGUAUCCAACCUUCCCUACACUUCGGCAUAACCCGGCGAAAGUCGGACUAAUUCCGAAUGGUCUCCUUUGACGGCAUCAGAAGCGGAGUAAAGAUUUAUCGGUGUAGGAUGGGGAUGCGUCCGAUUAGCUGGUUGGUGUGGUAACGGCUCACCAAGGCUACGAUCGGUAGGGGUUCUGAGAGGAAGGUCCCCCACACUGGAACUGAGACACGGUCCAG
rnacentral:rRNA from 1 species